GACGAACGCUGGCGGCGUGCUUAACACAUGCAAGUCGAACGGAAAGGCCCUGCUUCUGUGGGGUGCUCGAGUGGCGAACGGGUGAGUAACACGUGAGUAACCUGCCCUUGACUUUGGGAUAACUUCAGGAAACUGGGGCUAAUACCGGAUAGGAGCUCCUGCUGCAUGGUGGGGGUUGGAAAGUUUCGGCGGUUGGGGAUGGACUCGCGGCUUAUCAGCUUGUUGGUGGGGUAGUGGCUUACCAAGGCUUUGACGGGUAGCCGGCCUGAGAGGGUGACCGGCCACAUUGGGACUGAGAUACGGCCCAGACUCCUACGGGAGGCAGCAGUGGGGAAUAUUGCACAAUGGGCGGAAGCCUGAUGCAGCAACGCCGCGUGCGGGAUGACGGCCUUCGGGUUGUAAACCGCUUUCGCCUGUGACGAAGCGUGAGUGACCGUAAUGGGUAAAGAAGCACCGGCUAACUACGUG
rnacentral:rRNA from 1 species